rnacentral:misc_RNA from 1 species
UUAAGUUCAGCGGGUAGUCUCACCCGAUUUGAGGUCAAGGUUUGUCGGUCAAGUCGACCAUUUGUCUUCUACAAGACAGUUAGAAGCAGGAUCUAGAGCAACCAGUGCAAAACCCAAGACGUAGAAGCAUCUUAUCACGUCAAGGAUCAGCAAAGCGGACCCCACUAAUUCAUUUCAGAGGAGCUGGCUUCAACGAGCGA